AGCGAACGCUGGCGGCAGGCCUAACACAUGCAAGUCGAACGGACCCUUCGGGGUUAGUGGCGGACGGGUGAGUAACACGUGGGAACGUGCCUUUAGGUUCGGAAUAGCUCCUGGAAACGGGUGGUAAUGCCGAAUGCGCCCUUCGGGGGAAAGAUUUAUCGCCUUUAGAGCGGCCCGCGUCUGAUUAGCUAGUUGGUGAGGUAAUGGCUCACCAAGGCGACGAUCAGUAGCUGGUCUGAGAGGAUGACCAGCCACAUUGGGACUGAGACACGGCCCAAACUCCUACGGGGGGCAGCAGUGGGGAAUCUUGCGCAAUGGGCGAAAGCCUGACGCAGCCAUGCCGCGUGAAUGAUGAAGGUCUUAGGAUUGUAAAAUUCUUUCACCGGGGACGAUAAUGACGGUACCCGGAGAAGAAGCCCCGGCUAACUUCGUGCCAGCCGCCGCCGUAAAAC
rnacentral:rRNA from 1 species